GACGAACGCUGGCGGCGUGCUUAACACAUGCAAGUCGAACGGAAAGGCCCUGCUUGCAGGGUACUCGAGUGGCGAACGGGUGAGUAACACGUGGGUGAUCUGCCCUGCACUUCGGGAUAAGCCUGGGAAACUGGGUCUAAUACCGGAUAGGAGCCAUUUUUAGUGUGAUGGUUGGAAAGUUUUUUCGGUGUAGGAUGAGCUCGCGGCCUAUCAGCUUGUUGGUGGGGUAAUGGCCUACCAAGGCGGCGACGGGUAGCCGGCCUGAGAGGGUGGACGGCCACAUUGGGACUGAGGACAGGCCCAGAAUUCUACGGGGGGCAGCAGUGGGGAAAAUUGCAAAAUGGGGGGAAGCCUGAUGCAGCGACGCCGCGUGGGGGAUGACGGGCUUCGGGUUGUAAACUCCUUUCGCUAGGGACGAAGCUUUUUGUGACGGUACCUAGAUAAGAAGCACCGGCUAACUACGUG
rnacentral:rRNA from 1 species